ACUUGUUCUGUUGGGUACCCUCUCUCUCCCCCUGCUCUGAGUAUACUUUCCCUCAGUAGCUCUGGCUUUUUUAAGUAAAAGUGUUGAGCAUUGCCUGGGAGUCAAAUUUUUAAUGACACAAGGUGUUUUUAGGUCCUUUAAGUUUAUUUUAAGCUAUCGAGUUAGUCUCUAAACAAAGUUAUUUUUAAAGUAGCCUUAUUUUGGAAUAAUUUUAGAUAUAUAGAAAACUUGCAAGGAAAAUACAGAAAGUUCCUGUAUGCCCUUCACCCAGCUUCCCCUAAUGGUAGCACUUUACGUAACUGGACACGUUGGCCAAACCAAGAAAUCAACAUUGCUUACAACACUGCUGACUAAACCACAGACCUUUUUUGUCUUUUGUCCCUUUUUCCCUGUUGUCCUUUUUCUGACCCGGGACCCACCCCCCAUUGCAUUCAGUUGUCACGUUGCCUCUGAUCUGUUUCUUAGUUUUCCGUGAAGUGAGGGUGACCUCGUUUUUCAAUGACCUUGACACUUUUGAGGAGUACUUGUCAGUUAUUUGUUAAGUGUCCCUCAGUUUGGGGUGGUCUGGCAGUUUCUUCUGUGGGACUGGGGUUGUGGGUUUGGGAGGAAGACCCCAGAGGAGAGGGGCCCUUCUCAGUGCAUUGUAUUCGGGGGACGGGACACCCACAUGACUCAUGGGUCAUGUUAAACCACCUGAGUUUUAAUUUGCUAGAAUGAAACCUCUGACUCCGCUCUGCUCUUGAAUCCUUGCCGUGUGUGUGUCUGAGAUCCUGAGACAACCCCAGUGUUUUUACAUUGAGAGGGGCUUCUGAGGCCACCCAGUUGGGUCCAUCCAGUUUCCAGGUGAAUAGCCUGGAGCCUGGAGGGUCCUGACACAGGCCCCUUGGCAGAGCCGCCCUGGGGUCCAGGCUGCCUCUCUGCUCUGACCACAUUGUGCAGGCCUGGUGCCCUUCCCUGAGACACGCUGGAGGAACAGAGAUGUCCCCAGGAGUGCAGCGGGAGUCUGAGCUCACUGGUGGAACUGGGUUCUGUUUAGGGGUGGGUCAGUGUGCCCCCAAGGUGUUGGGAGGCCCUCGGCCCCUCUGUGCAGCAAGUGGGAGGACAGCUCCAUGUUGCUUGGCCUUGGUGAAAGUAGGUGGCCGGCUUUGCUGCCUUCUCCUCUAGCCUUUCCUCCUUCAGGUGAGGCUGCAGUGCUGUUUAUUGUCUGAAGACCUUCGUCCCGAGUUACAGACCGGCCCGUGGGCUGCUGCUUUGUUUGAGGCUUUUAUACUGAACCAAGAACAGAGAGUUGUUCUCCCCGAAGUUCAGGAGACAGGCAUCCAGGAGCUUCAUUCUCUGGUUUAUUUUCCUACCCAUCUGCAGAGUCGCCUCUCCAACCGCCUUUCCACACGACCACAGCAAAAACAAGGCAGUUAGGUGAUUGUGAGUUGGUGGGAAAAAGCCAGGGCACGGGUUUAAUGGGAGAGAACGUUGAAGAACAGGGGUGACCCCCUCAUCUGCUGAGGAUAUGGGGCCUCCCCUGGCGGUGGGCUGACAGGCUUUGGAGCACCAGGAUCGCCCGCCUGAAGGUGCGUGCUCAGGUGCUCGGAGCGGCCCAGGGAAGGUGGGGUCCCGCACCACCACACCUGUCCACCCACCCGCCCUUCCUUGUUUCUGGUGACUAACUCAGUAACUGGUGGCCGUGGAGGUGAAUGUAAGGCUUGACAAAACUGAUCUUUCUCUGCACACGCAUGUGUCGUGAAGUUUCCGUGGAAGCUAGGUGUUCACGCUGAGACGACACCUCUCCAGACCUCUGCUGGCCGUGUUACCCCCGGUGAGAAACUCUUCAGAACGCUCAGAUGAGGAGCCCAGGAUGAGGGGCAUCUGUUCGUGGCGCCCCUUCAGGUCCCCCACUGGAAGUUAAUGAUUUCUGGCCCACUGGUAUGAGCUGCAUGGAGAAAAUAUUAGUUCAUUCGUCUUCUUGAUAGCAAAUAUUCAGCAGACACUUGGAACCAUAUAAAUGAGCUGACGGGCAGAGGGAACUCAGUGAAGCUAUGAGUGACGU